rfam:Oryza brachyantha chromosome 4, whole genome shotgun sequence.
AAUAACCUUAUUUUUCGUUUUUCCGUGUUUAACGUUUGACCAUUCGUCUUAUUUGAAUUUUUUUGUGAUUAAUAUUUUUAUUGUUACUAGAUGAUAAAAUAUGAAUAGUACUUUAUACGUGGGUUUUUGUAUAAAAUUUUCAAAUAAGACGAAUGGUCAAACGUUGGAUAAGGAAAAAC